rnacentral:rRNA from 1 species
UACGUAGGGUGCGAGCGUUAAUCGGAAUUACUGGGCGUAAAGUGUGCGCAGGUGGCCGCGCAAGUCGAGUGUGAAAUCCCCGAGCUUAACUUGGGAAUUGCGCUCGAAACUACGUGGCUCGAGUGUGGCAGAGGAAGGUGGAAUUCCACGUGUAGCGGUGAAAUGCGUAGAGAUGUGGAGGAACACCGAUGGCGAAGGCGACUACCUGGCCUGUUUCUUGACGCUGAGGCGCGAAAGCUAGGGGAGCAAACGGG